CCUACGGGUGGCAGCAGUGGGGAAUAUUGCACAAUGGGCGCAAGCCUGAUGCAGCCAUGCCGCGUGUGUGAAGAAGGCCUUCGGGUUGUAAAGCACUUUCAGCGGGGAGGAAGGCGUUAAGGUUAAUAACCUUGGCGAUUGACGUUACCCGCAGAAGAAGCACCGGCUAACUCCGUGCCAGCAGCCGCGGUAAUACGGAGGGUGCAAGCGUUAAUCGGAAUUACUGGGCGUAAAGCGCACGCAGGCGGUCUGUCGAGUCGGAUGUGAAAUCCCCGGGCUCAACCUGGGAACUGCAUUCGAAACUGGCAGGCUAGAGUCUUGUAGAGGGGGGUAGAAUUCCAGGUGUAGCGGUGAAAUGCGUAGAGAUCUGGAGGAAUACCGGUGGCGAAGGCGGCCCCCUGGACAAAGACUGACGCUCAGGUGCGAAAGCGUGGGGAGCAAACAGGAUUAGAUACCCGAGUAGUC
rnacentral:rRNA from 1 species